rnacentral:rRNA from 1 species
UACGGAGGGUGCAAGCGUUAUCCGGAUUCACUGGGUUUAAAGGGUGCGUAGGAGGGCAGGUAAGUCAGUGGUGAAAUCUCCAAGCUUAACUUGGAACUGCCGUUGAUACUAUCUGUCUUGAAUACCGUGGAGGUGAGCGGAAUAUGUCAUGUAGCGGUGAAAUGCUUAGAUAUGACAUAGAACACCAAUUGCGAAGGCAGCUCGCUACACGAAUAUUGACUCUGAGGCACGAAAGCGUGGGGAUCAACAGG